ensembl:rRNA 5S_rRNA 5S ribosomal RNA
GCUUACGGCCACACCGCCUGGUUCACGCCCCGAUCUCGUUUGAUCUCAAAAUCUAAGAUAGGGUGGGCCUGGUUAGUACUUGGAUGGGAGACCGCCUGGGAAUACCAGGUGCUGUAAGCU